rnacentral:sRNA from 1 species
AGCAGAAUCCCCAUGAGAGGGGCAUAGGACAGAGCAGCCAAGUAAGAAUUAUGGAGCUAACCUCUGCUACACAACCACCUUGAACCUGGCCAGCCAGUGGUGAUCGAGGCAGAAGUUGAUUCUGCUCUUAGGCAGGCAGUCUUUGUUUAUUGAGGAAGGCAGACACUACUGAACCAUUGACAGAAGAAACAGGGAGACUACUACAAAGUAGGGAUCGGGAGCCUCUUGAGAACACACAUGGGGUCUCCUCUGCCUUAUCAGAAACCGGAAGUUUGAAUGUCCGCUGAAACUGUAGGGAGCUUCCUGACAACUCCAGGCACAGGAACGAGCUGGGAAGUCCUUAGCCACGUACCUUCAUCUUGAACACUUGGUUCUCAGUCCUCACAGGCCCUGGGAAUAGAUAUACUGCUAGCUCAAAGUUACAUUUGAGAAAAACUUCAGCUUGCCCCAGUGGCAUGCACGGAUGACUUUGAAGCCCAGUCCAGGAAUUACAGGUGCAGUAGAAUCACAGGUAUGCUGAAUUCACUCGCCCUCACCUGCGAUCGGCCUGGGCUCCCCCCUUAUCAAGUUUCAGUUAGAUUAAAUUUCGCAGCAGGCUCAGGUCUCUGAAACAAGACUUUCUGAAAGAAAAGUUCCGUGUAAGAUCAGUGGCAGACCUGCCUUAUAGACCAAAAGCUGCAUCAUUUCCCCACGCUGAAGCAUCCCCAGCCUCUCGAGAACGCUUCGCACUUUGCUCCCUCCUCCUCCAGAACUUCAUAUAAGAUAAUAUUCGUCCCCAGGAGACGAAGGCUGCCUAUCUAUAAGACCAGGCUAAUGGUGUGGAUUGGGAGGAGGAGAUAACCAAGCAGGGAAUAAUAAUGUCACCGCCACUGAUAGAGUAAAGGGACAUAAGCAACUGUGACAACAACAGCACUAGAGAUGUCCACCCACAGGGAAGCCGUGUGCCAGCGUGCUGUUCGUGGAGCUCCUUACUUGAGAAUAGAAACGACA